rnacentral:rRNA from 1 species
GAUGAACGCUGGCGGCGUGCCUAAUACAUGCAAGUCGAGCGAACAGACGAUGAGCUUGCUCCUCUGACGUUAGCGGCGGACGGGUGAGUAACACGUGGAUAACCUACCUAUAAGACUGGUAUAACUUCGGGAAACCGGAGCUAAUCGCGUAUAAUAUAUUGAACCGCAUGGUUCAAUAGUGAAAGUCGGUUUUUCUGUCACUUAUAGAUGGUUCCGGGCCGCAUUAGCUAGUUGGUAAGGUAACGGCUUACCAAGGCGACGAUGCGUAGCCGACCUGAGAGGGUGAUCGGCCACACUGGAACUGAGACACGGUCCAGACUCCUACGGGAGGCAGCAGUAGGGAAUCUUCCGCAAUGGGCGAAAGCCUGACGGAGCAACGCCGCGUGAGUGAUGAAGGUCUUCGGAUCGUAAAACUCUGUUAUUAGGGAAGAACCAAUGUGUAAGUAACUAUGCACGUCUUGACGGUAACUAAUCAGAAAGCCACGGCUAACUACGUG